GGUGGGAGCGGCGAACGGGUGAGUAAUACGUUGGAAUCUGCCCCGAACUCAGGGAUAACUCGCAGAAAUGCGAGCUAAUACCGGAUAGUCCCGAAAGGGUAAAGAUUUUCGGUUCGGGAGGAGCCUGCGGCCUAUCAGCUAGUUGGUGAGGUAAUGGCUCACCAAGGCUAUGACGGGUAGCUGGUCUGAGAGGAUGACCAGUCACAAUGGGACUGAGACACGGCCCAUACUCCUACGGGAGGCAGCAGUAAAGAAUCUUUCGCAAUGGGGGAAACCCUGACGAAGCAAUACCGCGUGGGCGAAGAAGGCCGAAAGGUCGUAAAGCCCUUUUCUGAGGGAAUAAUUCUGAAGGUACCUCAGGAAUAAGCACCGGCUAACUCCGUGCCAGCAGCCGCGGUAAUACGGAGGGUGCAAGCGUUACCCGGAAUCAUUGGGCGUAAAGCGUCUGUAGGCGGUUUAUUAAGUUAAGUAUUAAAUCUUGAAGCCUAACUUCAAGGCCGUACUUAAAACUGAUAUACUAGAGUCUUUUAGAGGUGCGUGGAAUUCUGUGUGUAGGGGUAAAAUCCGUAGAUACACAGAGGAACACCGAAAGCGAAGGCAGCGCACUGGAAAAGUACUGACGCUGAGAGACUAAAGCGCGGGGAGCGAACGGGAUUAGAUACCCCGGUAGUCCGCGCCCUAAACUAUGGAUACUAGGUGUUGGCCCUGCUCGACGGGGCCAGUGCCGAAGCAAACGCAUUAAGUAUCCCGCCUGGGAAGUACGGUCGCAAGAUAAAAACUCAAAGGAAUAGACGGGGACCCACACAAGCGGUGGAGCAUCUGGCUCAAUUCGAUACUGAGCGAGGAACCUUACCUAGGUUUGAAAUCUCUGGAAUUCUCUGGAAACAGGGAAGUGCCUUCGGGAACCAGAAGACAGGUGUUGCAUGGCUGUCGUCAGCUCGUGCCUUGAGGUGUUCGGUUAAGUCCGUAAACGAGCGCAACCCAUGUCAUGUGUUGUAUAUUUCACAUGAGACUGCCGAUUCAAUGUCGGAGGAAGGUAUGGAUGACGUCAAGUCCGCAUGACCCUUAUACCUAGGGCUGCACAGGUGCUACAAUGGCCGAUACAAUGGGUAGCAAUGUCGUAAGACAAAGCCAAUCCUUAAAGUCGGCCCUAGUUCGGAUUGAGGGCUGCAAUUCGCCCUCAUGAAGCCGGAAUCGCUAGUAAACGCGGAUCAGCAAUGGCGCGUUGAAUAUGUUCCUGGGUCUUGUACUCACCGCCCGUCAUACUAUGAAAGGUAGAAGCACCCGAAGUGCCCUUAAACGCAAGUUGGGGCCCUAAGGUGAAGCUACUGAUUGGAGUAAAGUCGUAACAAGGUA
rnacentral:rRNA from 1 species